rnacentral:sRNA from 1 species
AAAUAGCCCCGAUAGCAGCGACAUCUCCCGCCUUUUUUGGCGGGAAUAUAGCGGAUAGCGGGAGGGAAG